UGGGGAAUAUUGCGCAAUGGGGGAAACCCUGACGCAGCGACACCGCGUGAAGGAUGAAGGAUCUUGGUCUGUAAACUUCUUUAAUCUGUGACGAAUAAUGACGGUAGCAGAGGAAUAAGCCCCGGCUAACUACGUGCCAGCAGCCGCGGUAAUACGUAGGGGGCAAGCGUUGUCCGGAAUUACUGGGUGUAAAGGGUGUGUAGGCGGGUUAAUUAGUCAGAUGUGAAAACCACGAGCUCAACUUGUGGACUGCAUUUGAAACUGUUAAUCUUGAGUGCAGGAGAGGAAAGUGGAAUUCCUAGUGUAGCGGUGAAAUGCGUAGAUAUUAGGAGGAACACCAGUGGCGAAGGCGACUUUCUGGACUGUAACUGACGCUGAGGCACGAAAGUGUGGGGAGCAAACAGG
rnacentral:rRNA from 1 species